ensembl:ncRNA C04D8.5 ncRNA
CUAAGGGAAUAUAAGCAAUAAGCUGGAGGGAAAUGUUAAUUUAUGCAAAUUCAUUCAAUUAACUAAAAGAAAGAAUUUUCGUCCGAGUAGCGUUCUGAGAGAAGGCGGCAUGAUUGAUGGGUUUAGGAACCCAGGAUAAGUCAAAUAAAA